rnacentral:rRNA from 1 species
GAUGAACGCUGGCGGCGUGCCUAAUACAUGCAAGUCGAGCGAACGGACGAGAAGCUUGCUUCUCUGAUGUUAGCGGCGGACGGGUGAGUAACACGUGGAUAACCUACCUAUAAGACUGGGAUACUUCGGGAAACCGUAGCUAAUACCGGAUAAUAUUUUGAACCGCAUGGUUCAAAAGUGAAAGACGGUCUUGCUGUCACUUAUAGAUGGAUCCGCGCUGCAUUAGCUAGUUGGUAAGGUAACGGCUUACCAAGGCAACGAUGCAUAGCCGACCUGAGAGGGUGAUCGGCCACACUGGAACUGAGACACGGUCCAGACUCCUACGGGAGGCAGCAGUAGGGAAUCUUCCGCAAUGGGCGAAAGCCUGACGGAGCAACGCCGCGUGAGUGAUGAAGGUCUUCGGAUCGUAAAACUCUGUUAUUAGGGAAGAACAUAUGUGUAAGUAACUGUGCACAUCUUGACGGUACCUAAUCAGAAAGCCACGGCUAACUACGUG